rnacentral:rRNA from 1 species
UACGUAGGGGGCUAGCGUUGUCCGGAAUCAUUGGGCGUAAAGCGCGUGUAGGCGGUCCGGUAAGUCCGCUGUGAAAGUCGGGGGCUCAACCCUCGAAUGCCGGUGGAUACUGUCGGGCUAGAGUGCGGAAGAGGCGAGUGGAAUUCCUGGUGUAGCGGUGAAAUGCGCAGAUAUCAGGAGGAACACCAAUUGCGAAGGCAGCUCGCUGGGAAGUAACUGACGCUGAGACGCGAAAGCGUGGGGAGCAAACAGG